rnacentral:rRNA from 1 species
UCAGGAUGAACGCUAGCGGCAGGCUUAACACAUGCAAGUCGAGGGGUAUAGUUCUUCGGAACUAGAGACCGGCGCACGGGUGCGUAACGCGUAUGCAAUCUACCUUUUACAGAGGGAUAGCCCAGAGAAAUUUGGAUUAAUACCUCAUAGUAUGUGAGAAUCGCAUGGUUUUCACAUUAAAGUUCCAACGGUAAAAGAUGAGCAUGCGUCCCAUUAGCUAGAUGGUAAGGUAACGGCUUACCAUGGCGACGAUGGGUAGGGGUCCUGAGAGGGAGAUCCCCCACACUGGUACUGAGACACGGACCAGACUCCUACGGGAGGCAGCAGUGAGGAAUAUUGGACAAUGGGCGCAAGCCUGAUCCAGCCAUGCCGCGUGCAGGAAGAAGCAUCUAUGGUGUGUAAACUGCUUUUGUACGGGAAGAAACACUCCUUCGUGAAGGAGCUUGACGGUACCGUAAGAAUAAGGAUCGGCUAACUCCGUG